ensembl:lncRNA
AGAGUACCAUAAUGGCUGUGGUUAACAGAUGUCUGAAGGUCCUCUUCAUUGGAAUAAACAUCAUACACAUAAUUUUAGCUGGUGUGGUUUUUACACUAGCUGUUCUGCUGGGCUACAACACCCAGGGACAAGAUGUGGGGCUUGUACUGAUAGCAAUGUGGCUACUGGGUUCAGGAGUCUUGGUGGUGGCUAGCCUUGGUAUCCAUGGUGCCAGAAAAGAGAAGAAGUGGCCCCUGAUCUCGUAUAUUACAGCCAAUGUGAUUGGUGUGAUCAUGUUUCUGAUUCAAGGGACGCUGUUUGUCAAGGCAAAAACACUGGUGAGCUCACACUCGAGGCCUGGCACGCUGUCUAGCCCUCUCCUCCAGGGAACUCUGGCUGUAGAUUGUAUAUUAGCAAUCAAUUUUGUACCUGCCGCUUUGGGGUUCAUCGGGAUUAUCCUGGCAGCCAUGAUCAUGCAUCAGCUCCACAGCCGGCAGCCUGCCAUGACAGAUGUUGAGGGUAAACCCCCAGGAUACUCACAGAUGUGCCCAAUGAGCAGCAAGUCAGCAGAGAGCUGGACAUACAGGAUUCUCCCAAAUCACCACACAGCUAAUGACACAUAUUAAAGAAAUACACAUGACUAACAAUUAAGUCAAAAUGUCUGUGAUGCAUCUGAAAAAUAUUUGCCUCUCUCUCUCACACAACAAACACACACACACACACAUAAUGGCACAUAUUAAAGAAA